CGGAAGAACACCAGUGGCGAAGGCGACACACUGGCUCAUUACUGACGCUGAGGCUCGAAAGCGUGGGGAGCAAACAGGAUUAGAUACCCUGGUAGUCCACGCCGUAAACGAUGAUUGCUAGUUGUCGGGAUGCAUGCAUUUCGGUGACGCAGCUAACGCAUUAAGCAAUCCGCCUGGGGAGUACGGCCGCAAGAUUAAAACUCAAAAAAAUUGACGGGA
rnacentral:rRNA from 1 species